rnacentral:rRNA from 1 species
CCUACGGGGGGCUGCAGUGGGGAAUAUUGGACAAUGGGGGGAACCCUGAUCCAGCCAUGCCGCGUGUGUGAAGAAGGCCCUCGGGUUGUAAAGCACUUUCAGUGAGGAAGAACGCCUGGUGGUUAAUACCCAUCAGGAAGGACAUCACUCACAGAAGACGCACCGGCUAACUCCGUGCCAGCAGCCGCGGUAAUACGGAGGGUGCGAGCGUUAAUCGGAAUUACUGGGCGUAAAGCGCGCGUAGGUGGCUUGAUAAGCCGGUUGUGAAAGCCCCGGGCUCAACCUGGGAACGGCAUCCGGAACUGUCAAGCUAGAGUGCAGGAGAGGAAGGUAGAAUUCCCGGUGUAGCGGUGAAAUGCGUAGAGAUCGGGAGGAAUACCGGUGGCGAAGGCGGCCUUCUGGACUGACACUGACGCUGAGGUGCGAAAGCGUGGGUAGCAAACAGGAUUAGAUACCCGGGUAGUC